AAUAGAUACCCAGGUAGUCCACGCCGUAAACGAUGAGUGCUAAGUGUUAGGGGGUUUCCGCCCCUUAGUGCUGCAGCUGACGCAUUAAGCACUCCGCCUGGGGAGUACGGCCGCAAGGCUGAAACUCAAAGGAAUUGACGGGGGCCCGCACAAGCGGUGGAGCAUGUGGUUUAAUUCGAAGCAACGCGAAGAACCUUACCAGGUCUUGACAUCUCCUGACCGCCCUGGAGACAGGGUCUUCCCUUCGGGGACAGGAUGACAGGUGGUGCAUGGUUGUCGUCAGCUCGUGUCGUGAGAUGUUGGGUUAAGUCCCGCAACGAGCGCAACCCUUGUCCUUAGUUGCCAGCAUUCAGUUGGGCACUCUAAGGAGACUGCCGGCUAAAAGUCGGAGGAAGGUGGGGAUGACGUCAAAUCAUCAUGCCCCUUAUGACCUGGGCUACACACGUGCUACAAUGGGCGGUACAGAGGGUCGCGAACCCGCGAGGGGGAGCCAAUCCCAAAAAACCGGCUCUCAGUUCGGAUUGCAGGCUGC
rnacentral:rRNA from 1 species